AAUAUUGCGCAAUGGAGGAAACUCUGACGCAGCGACGCCGCGUGAGCGAUGAAGGUCUNCGGAUCNUNAAGCUCUGUCCUCAGGGNCGAAGAAAGUGACGGUACCUGAGGAGGAAGCCCCGGCUAACUACGUGCCAGCAGCCGCGGUAAUACGUAGGGGGCAAGCGUUGUCCGGAAUUAUUGGGCAUAAAGGGUGCGUAGGCGGCCUUUUAAGUAAGAUGUGAAAGCCCACGGCUUAACCGCGGGACUGCAUUUGAAACUGGAGGGCUUGAGUAUCGGAGAGGGUAGUGGAAUUCCCAGUGUAGCGGUGGAAUGCGUAGAUAUUGGGAGGAACACCAGUGGCGAAGGCGACUACCUGGUCAAAAACUGACGCUGAGGCACGAAAGCUAGGGGAGCAAAC
rnacentral:rRNA from 1 species